rnacentral:rRNA from 1 species
GAGUUUGAUCCUGGCUCAGGACGAACGCUGGCGGCGUGCUUAACACAUGCAAGUCGAACGGUAAGGCCCCAGCUUGCUGGGGUACACGAGUGGCGAACGGGUGAGUAACACGUGGGUGACCUACCCUGCACUUCGGGAUAAGCCUGGGAAACUGGGUCUAAUACCGGAUAGGACUACACCGUGAGGGUGUGGUGGAAAGUUUUUCGGUGCAGGAUGGGCCCGCGGCCUAUCAGCUUGUUGGUGGGGUAAUGGCCUACCAAGGCGGCGACGGGUAGCCGGCCUGAGAGGGUGGACGGCCACAUUGGGACUGAGACACGGCCCAGACUCCUACGGGAGGCAGCAGUGGGGAAUAUUGCACAAUGGGCGGAAGCCUGAUGCAGCGACGCCGCGUGGGGGAUGACGGCCUUCGGGUUGUAAACUCCUUUCACCAUCGACGAAGGUUUUCUGACGGUAGAUGGAGAAGAAGCACCGGCUAACUACGUGCCAGCAGCCGCGGUAAUACGUAGGGUGCGAGCGUUGUCCGGAAUUACUGGGCGUAAAGAGCUCGUAGGUGGUUUGUCGCGUCGUCUGUGAAAUUCCGGGGCUUAACUCCGGGCGUGCAGGCGAUACGGGCAUAACUUGAGUACUGUAGGGGAGACUGGAAUUCCUGGUGUAGCGGUGAAAUGCGCAGAUAUCAGGAGGAACACCGGUGGCGAAGGCGGGUCUCUGGGCAGUAACUGACGCUGAGGAGCGAAAGCAUGGGUAGCGAACAGGAUUAGAUACCCUGGUAGUCCAUGCCGUAAACGGUGGGCGCUAGGUGUAGGGGUCUUCCACGACUUCUGUGCCGUAGCUAACGCAUUAAGCGCCCCGCCUGGGGAGUACGGCCGCAAGGCUAAAACUCAAAGGAAUUGACGGGGGCC